AUACGUAGGUGACAAGCGUUAUCCGGAUUUACUGGGCGUAAAGGGCGUGUAGGCGGUCUUGCAAGUCAGAAGUGAAAUUCCUGAGCUCAACUCGGGCGCUGCUUCUGAAACUGCAGGACUUGAGUGCUGGAGGGGAUAGCGGAAUUCCUAGUGGAGCGGUAAAAUGCGCAGAUAUUAGGAAGAACACCGGUGGCGAAGGCGGAUAUCUGGACAGUAACUGACGUUGAGGCGCGAAAGGGUGGAGAGCAAACAGGAUUAGAUACCCUGGUAGUCCACGCUGUAAACGAUGAAUUCUAGGUGUAGUGGGUAUCGACUCCCUCUGUGCCGCAGUUAACACAAUAAGUAUUCCGCCUGGGGAGUACGGCCGCAAGGUUGAAACUCAAAUGAAUUGGCGGGU
rnacentral:rRNA from 1 species